AAGUUUCACAGAAGAGGAACAA
rnacentral:miRNA from 1 species